rnacentral:rRNA from 1 species
AGUGGGGAAUAUUGGACAAUGGGCGAAAGCCUGAUCCAGCCAUGCCGCGUGUGUGAAGAAGGCCUUCGGGUUGUAAAGCACUUUCAGUGGGGAGGAAAGGUUGAUGGUUAAUAGCCAUUAGCUGUGACGUUGCCCACAGAAGAAGCACCGGCUAACUCCGUGCCAGCAGCCGCGGUAAUACGGAGGGUGCAAGCGUUAAUCGGAAUUACUGGGCGUAAAGCGUGCGCAGGCGGUCUGUUAAGCGAGAUGUGAAAGCCCCGGGCUCAACCUGGGAACUGCAUUUCGAACUGACAGACUAGAGUCUUGUAGAGGGGGGUAGAAUUCCAGGUGUAGCGGUGAAAUGCGUAGAGAUCUGGAGGAAUACCGGUGGCGAAGGCGGCCCCCUGGACAAAGACUGACGCUCAUGCACGAAAGCGUGGGGAGCAAA